GGCUCGGUAGCUUAGUUGGUAAAGCGCUCGUCUAGCAUACAAGAGUUCUGGGUUCAAAUCUCAGCUGAGCAC
rnacentral:tRNA from 1 species